ACCCAGACCGCCAGCUAAGGUCCCAAAGUCAUGGUUAAGUGGGAAACGAUGUGGGAAGGCCCAGACAGCCAGGAUGUUGGCUUAGAAGCAGCCAUCAUUUAAAGAAAGCGUAAUAGCUCACUGGUCGAGUCGGCCUGCGCGGAAGAUGUAACGGGGCUAAACCAUGCACCGAAGCUGCGGCAGCGAACGUAUCACCCAAGACAACUUUACGGAGUUGACGAUUGACGGAGCGAAGCGACGUCAAAGCRUUCAUUAAAGUCGAGUUGGCUUAGGGAUACGUUCGUUGGGUAGGGGAGCGUUCUGUAAGCCUGUGAAGGUGGCCUGUGAGGGUUGCUGGAGGUAUCAGAAGUGCGAAUGCUGACAUAAGUAACGAUAAAGCGGGUGAAAAGCCCGCUCGCCGGAAGACCAAGGGUUCCUGUCCAACGUUAAUCGGGGCAGGGUGAGUCGACCCCUAAGGCGAGGCCGAAAGGCGUAGUCGAUGGGAAACGGGUUAAUAUUCCCGUACUUGGUGUUACUGCGAA
rnacentral:rRNA from 1 species